rnacentral:rRNA from 1 species
AUUGAACGCUAGCGGGAUGCUUUACACAUGCAAGUCGAACGAGUGGCGGACGUGUGAGUAAUAUAUCGGAACGUGCCCAGUAGCGGGGGCUAACUCCUCGAACGAGUGCCUAAUCCCCCAUACCUUUCGCUUGGCCGAUAUCGGAUUAGCUAGUUGGGGGGGUAAGGGCUCACCACGGCAACGAUCCGUAGCUGGUUUGAGAGGACGACCGGCCACACUGGGACUGAGACACGGCCCAGACUCCUACGGGAGGCAGCAGUGGGGAAUUUUGGACAAUGGGGGAAAGCCUGAUCGAGCCAUCCCGCGUGUAUGAGAAGGCCUUCGGGUUGUAAAGUACUGUUGGCAGAGAAGCGGUAUCUGAAGAAUAAGCACCGGCUAACUACGUGCCAGCAGCCGCGGUAAUUC